rnacentral:lncRNA from 1 species
CUCCUCCCCUGUGGAAGAACACCUUCCCCGAAGGAGAAACGGACGCUGGCUCUCAGGGCAGAAGGUAGGGGUGGUGAUUACUCUGGGGCCUCUCGUACAGUCCAGUCAGCUGGCAGAAGAGCAGCGGGGGACAGCUCGAGGGCCCCCAGGUGGCAGCUCCCGGGUUCCCAGCGGUCCCGUCAGGGACAGGAGUCGACUUCCGCUUCCCUUGGUCCGUGGCUUGCUUGCCGGGGGCAUGGAUGGCCCCAGUUGGUACAGCUCAAUUGAUCUCACCAAAAACAGCGAUCUGAUCAAGUCAUCAUGCCAUAAGACCUUCAGGGUCUCCAUCCUCUGGUCACAGCAUACUCUCGAGCUCCUCUUCACCUUCUGCUCUACCAGAUACCCACAUGCCGGCAGUGGGUGAGCAGAGGGCCACACUGCCAUUCUCACUGAGAUAGCUGUUUGUUGUGGAGGACUGUCCUAUGCAUAUAUUCCACCAAAAAAAAUGUAUACACACUUCAGGAAAAGAAAAAUGGCAUGAUGUUUUUCUACAGAUAUCAUUGCCUUUGCCUGAGGACCCCUAGAGGAUGUCAUAUAUCACAGAAAGGCCACUACACUGCCAGCCCUUCGAGAAGAAAUUGAAAAUGCACGUGCAGCCAUCUCAAUGACCAAGGUUACCCAAGCAGUGGUUC